CAUCGCCUCCUGCCCGCUCAGCAUAGGAGGUCCCGCCUGCCCUGUGACCAAAAGUUUAACGGCCGCGGUAUUUUAACCGUGCAAAGGUAGCGCAAUCAAUUGUCUUUUAAAUGAAGACCUGUAUGAAUGGCAUAACGAGGGUUUAACUGUCUCUUUUUUCAGGUCAAUGAAACUGAUCUGUCCGUGCAGAAGCGGACAUAUUAACACAAGACGAGAAGACCCUAUGGAGCUUUAGACGCCCACCAACCGCGAAAAGCAGCCUACCUUAACAGAUGCUCUAAACAACGCGGUCCUGGUACAAACGUCUUCGGUUGGGGCGACCGCGGAGGAGAACAAAGCCUCCGAGAGGAAUGGGAACAAACCCUAAAACCAAGAGCCACAGCUCUAAGUCACAAAAAAUUUGACCGACAAUGAUCCGGCUUACUGCCGAUCAACGGACCAAGUUACCCUAGGGAUAACAGCGCAAUCCCCUCCCAGAGUCCAUAUCGACGAGGGGGUUUACGACCUCGAUGUUGGAUCAGGACAUCCUAAUGGUGCAGCCGCUAUUAAGGGUUCGUUUGUUCAACGAUUAAAGUCCUACGUG
rnacentral:rRNA from 1 species